rnacentral:rRNA from 1 species
UACGGAGGUGGCAAGCGUUGCUCGGAAUCACUGGGCGUAAAGGGCGCGUAGGCGGGGAGGUAAGUCGGGUGUGAAAUCCCUCGGCCCAACCGAGGAACUGCGCCCGAGACUGCUUCUCUUGAGUCCCGGAGAGGAAGAUGGAAUUCCCGGUGUAGCGGUGAAAUGUGUAGAGAUCGGGAGGAACACCGGUGGCGAAGGCGGUCUUCUGGACGGUGACUGACGCUGAGGCGCGAAAGCAUGGGGAGCAAACAGG